GAUGAACGCUGGCGGCGUGCCUAAUACAUGCAAGUCGAGCGAACGGAUGAGAAGCUUGCUUCUCUGAUGUUAGCGGCGGACGGGUGAGUAACACGUGGAUAACCUACCUAUAAGACUGGGAUAACUUCGGGAAACCGGAGCUAAUACCGGAUAAUAUUUUGAACCGCAUGGUUCAAAAGUGAAAGACGGUCUUGCUGUCACUUAUAGAUGGAUCCGCGCUGCAUUAGCUAGUUGGUAAGGUAACGGCUUACCAAGGCAACGAUGCAUAGCCGACCUGAGAGGGUGAUCGGCCACACUGGAACUGAGACACGGUCCAGACUCCUACGGGAGGCAGCAGUAGGGAAUCUUCCGCAAUGGGCGAAAGCCUGACGGAGCAACGCCGCGUGAGUGAUGAAGGUCUUCGGAUCGUAAAACUCUGUUAUUAGGGAAGAACAUAUGUGUAAGUAACCGUGCACAUCUUGACGGUACCUAAUCAGAAAGCCACGGCUAACUACGUG
rnacentral:rRNA from 1 species